rnacentral:rRNA from 1 species
UACGUAGGGGCCGAGCGUUGUCCGGAGUUACUGGGCGUAAAGCGCGCGCAGGCGGCUCGUCAAGCCUGACGUGAAAGCCCCCGGCUCAACCGGGGAGGGUCGUCGGGGACUGGCGAGCUUGAGGUCGGCAGGGGCUGGUGGAAUUCCCGGUGUAGUGGUGAAAUGCGUAGAGAUCGGGAGGAACACCGGUGGCGAAGGCGGCAUCCUGGACCGGUAUUGACGCUGAGGCGCGAAAGCCAGGGGAGCAAACGGG